GUGCUGGUUUGAACAGCACAUACACUAAAAUUGGAAUGAUACAGAGAAAAUCAGCAUGGCCCCUAAAAAAGAAGGAAAAUAUUGGAGCUAAUAAAGGAGUUC